UCCGUAGGCGGUGCGGCAAGUCGAUAGUGAAAUCCCUGGGCUUAACUCAGGGGCUGCUCACGAAACUGCCGUGCUAGAGUGUGAGAGAGGCGAGUGGAAUUACGGGUGUAGCGGUGAAAUGCGUAGAUAUCCGUAGGAACAUCCGAGGCGAAAGCGGCUCGCUGGAUCACAACUGACGCUGAGGGACGAAAGCUAGGGGAGCAAACAGGAUUAGAUACCCUGGUAGUCCUAGCCCUAAACCAUCAGGACUUGGGGUUUGCCCUGUACGGGGCAAGUCCCGUAGCUAACGCGUUAAGUCCUGCGCCUGGGAGUACGGUCGCAAGGCUGAA
rnacentral:rRNA from 1 species